GGGAGCCGGAUGCACGGAAACGCGCACGUCCGGUUCUAACUAAGAGGUGCGGCGGAUAAUACCGCCCAUCGACUCAAC
rnacentral:ncRNA from 1 species